rnacentral:rRNA from 1 species
CAGUCGCCGCGGGAAUACGAAGGGUGCAAGCGUUACUCGGAAUUACUGGGCGUAAAGCGUGCGUAGGUGGUGGUUUAAGUCCGUUGUGAAAGCCCUGGGCUCAACCUGGGAAUUGCAGUGGAUACUGGGUCACUAGAGUGUGGUAGAGGAUAGUGGAAUUUCCGGUGUAGCAGUGAAAUGCGUAGAGAUCGGAAGGAACAUCUGUGGCGAAGGCGACUAUCUGGGCCAACACUGACACUGAGGCACGAAAGCGUGGGGAGCAAACAGGAUUAGAUACCCGGGUAGUCCCUGUCUCUUACAC